UCAGGUGUGUCCAGGUGUGUCCAGGUGUAUCUCAGGUGUGUUCAGGUGUGUCUCAGGUGUGUUCAGGUGUGUUCAGGUGUAUCUCAGGUGUAUCCAGGUGUAUCUCAGGUGUGUCCAGGUGUAUCCAGGUGUAUCCCAGAUGUCCCCAGGUGUAUCCAGGUGUAUCUCAGGUGUAUCCAGGUGUAUCC